GACGAACGCUGGCGGCGUGCUUAACACAUGCAAGUCGAACGGAAAGGCCCUGCUUUUGUGGGGUGCUCGAGUGGCGAACGGGUGAGUAACACGUGAGUAACCUGACCUUGACUUUGGGAUAACUUCAGGAAACUGGGGCUAAUACCGGAUAGGAGCUCCUGCUGCAUGGUGGGGGUUGGAAAGUUUCGGCGGUUGGGGAUGGACUCGCGGCUUAUCAGCUUGUUGGUGGGGUAGUGGCUUACCAAGGCUUUGACGGGUAGCCGGCCUGGGAGGGUGACCGGCCACAUUGGGACUGCGAUACGGCCCAGACGGCUACGGGAGGCAGAAGGGGGGAAUAUUACCCAAUGGGCGGAAGCCUGAUGCAGCAACGCCGCGGUCGGGAUGACGGCCUUCGGGUUGUAAACCGCUUUCGCCUGUGACGAAGCGGGAGUGACGGUAAUGGGUAAAGAAGCACCGGCUAACUACGUG
rnacentral:rRNA from 1 species